rnacentral:snoRNA from 7 species
GGCAUGUAUUCUGAAUCUAAAGUUGAUUAUAAACCACUUUAGCUCUAGAAUUACUCUGAGA